rnacentral:rRNA from 1 species
UACGAAGGGUGCAAGCGUUACUCGGAAUUACUGGGCGGAAAGGGCGCGUAGGCGGCUCGUUUAGUCGGGUGUGAAAUCCCGGGGCUCAACCCCGGAACUGCAUUCGAUACUGGCGGGCUAGAGACCGGAAGAGGUGGGUGGAAUACCCAGUGUAGAGGUGAAAUUCGUAGAUAUUGGGUGGAACACCGGUGGCGAAGGCGGCUCACUGGUCCGGUUCUGACGCUGAGGCGCGAAAGCGUGGGGAGCAAACAGG